GAUGAACGCUAGCGAUAGGCCUAACACAUGCAAGUCGAGGGGCAUCACAUGAAGUAGCAAUACGGAUGGUGGCGACCGGCGCACGGGUGAGUAACACGUAUGCAACCUGCCUUCAACAAGGGGAUAACCCGUUGAAAGACGGACUAAUACCCUAUAACACAGGGGUCCCGCAUGGGAAUAUUUGUUAAAGGACAACCGGUUGAAGAUGGGCAUGCGUUCCAUUAGCUAGUUGGCGGGGUAACGGCCCACCAAGGCAACGAUGGAUAGGGGGAACUGAGAGGUUUAUCCCCCACACUGGUACUGAGACACGGACCAGACUCCUACGGGAGGCAGCAGUGAGGAAUAUUGGUCAAUGGACGCAAGUCUGAACCAGCCACGUCGCGUGAAGGAAGACGGCCCUACGGGUUGUAAACUUCUUUUAUACGGGAAUAAAGUGCCCCACGCGUAGGGUUUUGCAUGUACCGUAUGAAUAGGAUCGGCUAACUCCGUG
rnacentral:rRNA from 1 species